AAAAGGAAAAGAGAAACACGAUUGGCAAAAUGACAUGAAUUACUAAAAUGCCCUGCUAGGAACUAGGGUUUAUUACCUCCCUAUAAAUACACAAUAGGAGGCCACAUUCGCUUAAAGAGAGACUCGACGGUGAAUUUUGAGCAAAGAUGAGGGCCAAGUGGAAGAAGAAGCGUAUGAGGAGACUGAAGAGGAAGCGCAGAAAGAUGAGACAGAGAUCUAAGUAGAGCAGGGAUCCAGAUGCCUAGGAUGGUUUCUUGGGUGAAUCUUCUGCCUUCUACUACCGCUGUCCAUCUCUGUGGCAGCUCUGAAGAAUGGAGGUUGUCCGUUGUUUGAAGCUGCAUUAGUUGAUCUACUAUGUUCUAUGAAGGAGCUUAGUUUUAGUUUUAAAGUGCUAGUAAGGAUGUUGAUUUGUGGUUUUGAGAUAACUUGCUAGUUUUGUCUACCAAAGAUGUAUGUCAGAUUAUCUUGAACCUAUUCUCUUUUGAGCUGACGUUAUUGAGAGGAUCUCUCUUUGUCUGGGCUGCAUUUCAUUUGAAUAAAGUUUGGCUAUGAAUAUUA